GUACGCUCUUGGAGUUGCAAGCAUUGUGCGGAUCUGAAUGGACCGUCUGUGUUUGGGUUCUUUGGGAGUAUAUCGCAUUUCCCAGUAGUGUGCGUCAACAGGUGUUAGAACCAAGUGAUAAGCCCCGCAAGAAGGUGACUAGCUUCGGUUAGUGUUAUAGCUUGUGGUGUGCGAGCUUGGGUCUGACAGAGGAGUCGCGGCACAUGCUCUUUUGGGCUGGACUUUCUCUUUUCAGUUCGUAUCUAAACAUAGCGGACUGCACGCAGUGCGCUUGAACCUGUGCGGGCUGUCAAAGGGUGAAGUACACAAACUGUGCCAAGGUUGUUGGCGGUCAUAUGAUUUCAUACGACCCGUCUUGAAACACGGACCAAGGAGUCUAACAUGUGUGCGAGUCUUAGGGUGACUGAAACCCGCAGGCACAAUGAAAGUAAAGGCUGCUUGCAGCUGAAGUGAGAUCUCUCCUUUUGGGGAGCGCAUCAUUGACCGACCUAUUCUACUCCUAGAAAGGUUUGAGUAAGAGCACAUCUGUUGGGACCCGAAAGAUGGUGAACUAUGCUUGAGUAGGGCGAAGCCAGAGGAAACUCUGGUGGAGGCUCGUAGCGAUUCUGACGUGCAAAUCGAUCGUCAAACUUGAGUAUAGGGGCGAAAGACUAAUCGAACCAUCUAGUAGCUGGUUCCCUCCGAAGUUUCCCUUAGGAUAGCUGGAACUCGGAACAGUUUUAUCAGGUAAAGCGAAUGAUUAGAGGUCUUAGGGUUGAAACAACCUUAACCUAUUCUCAAACUUUAAAUUGGUAAGAAGCCCGACUUGCUUAAUUGAAGUAGGGCACAGAAUGAGAGUUCUAAGUGGGCCAUUUUUGGUAAGCAGAACUGGCGAUGCGGGAUGAACCGAACGCUGAGUUAAGGCGCCUAAAUCGACGCUCAUCAGACCCCACAAAAGGUGUUGGUUGAUCUAGACAGCAGGACGGUGGCCAUGGAAGUCGGAACCCGCUAAGGAGUGUGUAACAACACACCUGCCGAAUCAACUAGCCCUGAAAAUGGAUGGCGCUCAAGCGUCGUGCCUAUACUCAGCCGUCAGAGUAAAUAGCGAAGCUCUGACGAGUAGGAGGGCGUGGAGGUUGUGGUGAAGCCUUUGGCGUGAGCCUGGGUGAAACGGCCUCUAGUGCAGAUCUUGGUGGUAGUAGCAAAUAUUCAAAUGAGAACUUUGAAGACCGAAGUGGAGAAAGGUUCCAUGUGAACAGCAGUUGGACGUGGGUUAGUCGAUCCUAAGAGAUAGGGAAACUCCGUUUCAAAGUGCCCAAUCUUGGGCCGUUUAUCGAAAGGGAAUCGGGUUAAUAUUCCCGAACCGGAACGUGGAUAUUCUGGUCUCGUUUGGCCAGAUGUGCGGUAACGCAACUGAACUCGGAGACGUCGGCAGGAGCCCUGGGAAGAGUUCUCUUUUCUUGUUAACGACCUGACACCAUGGAAUCUGAUUGCCAGGAGAUAUGGUCCAAUGGUCGGUAAAGCACCACACUUCUUGUGGUGUCCGGUGCGCUCCUGAAGGCCCUUGAAAAUCCGAGGGAAAGAUUGAUUUUCACGUCCGUUCGUACUCAUAACCGCAGCAGGUCUCCUAGGUGAGCAGCCUCUGGUCGAUAGAACAAUGUAGGUAAGG
rnacentral:rRNA from 1 species